CUCUGUUUGGAAUCAAGAUGUUUUGGACAGAACGACGCGCAUCACUCACCGACCAAGGGAUGUUCCAAAGGUGAGAGGUAAAGGCACUAAUCAGAACUAAGCACCAAGCUCGAUAAAUCCGCCCCUUGUAGCUGCUAGAGGGGACAAGCGGAAAAGGAAUAACUGAUUAGUGUUGUGUGACUGGAACGGGGGCGAAAGCU
rnacentral:sRNA from 1 species